rnacentral:tRNA from 1 species
GAAGCUAAUGGGUUUGCCCAGGGAUUUCUAAUUCCUGGGCAUGCGGUUCGACUCCGUUUUGGCUUUU